GAUGAACGCUGGCGGCGUGCCUAAUACAUGCAAGUCGAGCGAACAGAUAAGGAGCUUGCUCCUUUGACGUUAGCGGCGGACGGGUGAGUAACACGUGGGUAACCUACCUAUAAGACUGGAAUAACUCCGGGAAACCGGGGCUAAUGCCGGAUAACAUUUAGAACCGCAUGGUUCUAAAGUGAAAGAUGGUUUUGCUAUCACUUAUAGAUGGACCCGCGCCGUAUUAGCUAGUUGGUAAGGCAACGGCUUACCAAGGCAACGAUACGUAGCCGACCUGAGAGGGUGAUCGGCCACACUGGAACUGAGACACGGUCCAGACUCCUACGGGAGGCAGCAGUAGGGAAUCUUCCGCAAUGGGCGAAAGCCUGACGGAGCAACGCCGCGUGAGUGAUGAAGGUCUUCGGAUCGUAAAACUCUGUUAUUAGGGAAGAACAAAUGUGUAAGUAACUGUGCACGUCUUGACGGUACCUAAUCAGAAAGCCACGGCUAACUACGUG
rnacentral:rRNA from 1 species